GAACUGAAGAGUUUGAUCCUGGCUCAGAUUGAACGCUGGCGGCAUGCUUUACACAUGCAAGUCGAACGGCAGCACGGGGGCAACCCUGGUGGCGAGUGGCGAACGGGUGAGUAAUGCAUCGGAACGUAUCCUUAAGUGGGGGAUAACGCAUCGAAAGAUGCGCUAAUACCGCAUAAUCUCCGAGGAGAAAAGCAGGGGAUCGCAAGACCUUGCGCUUUUGGAGCGGCCGAUGUCUGAUUAGCUAGUUGGUGAGGUAAAGGCUUACCAAGGCUUCGAUCAGUAGCUGGUCUGAGAGGACGACCAGCCACACUGGGACUGAGACACGGCCCAGACU
rnacentral:rRNA from 1 species